GGUGGACGCUGGCGGCGUGCUUUAAGCAUGCAAGUAGAGCGGAAAGGCCCUUUCGGGGGUACUCGAGCGGCGAACGGGUGAGUAACACGUGAGUAAUCUGCCCCUGGCUUUGGGAUAGCCACCGGAAACGGUGAUUAAUACCGGAUACGACCACUUCUCGCAUGGGAUGGUGGUGGAAAGUUUUUCGGCCAGGGAGGUGCUCGCGGCCUAUCAGCUUGAUGGUGAGGUAAUGGCUCACCAUGGCUUCGACGGGUAGCCGGCCUGAUAGGGUGACCGGUCACACUGGGACUGAGACAGGGCCCAGACUCAUACGGGAGGCAGCAGGGGGGAAUAUUGGACAAUGGGCGGAAGCCUGAUCCAGCAACGCCGCGUGAGGGAUGACGGCCUUCGGGUUGUAAACCUCUUUCAGCAGGGACGAAGCGCAAGUGACGGUACCUGCAGAAGAAGCACCGGCCAACUACGUGCCAGCAGCCGCAGUAA
rnacentral:rRNA from 1 species